rnacentral:rRNA from 1 species
GUAACGGCGAGUGAAGUGGGAAUAGCUCAAAUUUAAAAUCCAACACUUUUGUGUUUGAAUUGUAGUCUAAAGAGGUGUCAUCAAGCGCAGUGCUGUUGCACAAGUCUCCUGGAAUGGAGCAUCACAGAGGGUGAGAAUCCCGUUUGGGUAGUGGCACUGUGCAAUAACGAGACACUCUCUAAGAGUCGAGUUGUUUGGGAAUGCAGCUCAAAAAGGGUGGUAAACUUCAUCCAAGGCUAAAUAUAGGCAGGAGACCGAUAGCGAACAAGUACCGUGAGGGAAAGAUGAAAAGCACCUUGAAAAGGGAGUUAAACAGCGCGUGAAAUUGUUAAAAGGGAAACGAUUGAGUCCAGCAUUGUGUGCAUAUGCUGGCUUUGGAGUUGUCUUGAGCGAGCGCAAGCCGGUCUUUGCAACGAAAAAGUCCGCUUUGCAUACGAGUUCGGGCUGCUUUGGUGGUCUGGAGAAUAAGGGUGGAAUGUACUCACAAUUACGUGAACUUAUAGCCAGUCUUCAUUACAGAACACCAGAGCAGUAGCAUCUUUCUAUUGCGUUUGUACCGAUUCGCUUGGCUAGACAAGGCUUCAUGAAGACUUGACGACUCCUUGUGAUUAAAUUCAAAAGUGCAA